rfam:Anaerofustis stercorihominis DSM 17244 Scfld_02_0 genomic scaffold, whole genome shotgun sequence.
AAAGCAAGUCGUUUGAUCGCUUUAUAUAAAGAGGAAAGUCCGAGCUCCAUAGGGCAAUAGUGCCGGCUAACGGCCGGUUAGGGUAACCUAAAGGAAAGUGCAACAGAAAGGAAACCGCCCGUAAGGGUAAGGGUGAAAGGGUGAGGUAAGAGCUCACAGUUAGGUAGGUAACUAUCUAGACGUGUAAACCCCACUAGGAGCAAGACCAAAAAAGAACUAGGCUUUUGCCGGUCGGCUGCCCGCUGACGGUUCGUGGUAGGUCGCUUGAACUUAUUGGCAACAAUAAGUCUAGAUAGAUGAUCAUUAAAACAGAACUCGGCUUAUGAACUUGCUUAUAAU